GUCAUCAUAAUAAAGAUAAGUAUGGUUUAUCCCACAUAUAUAUUUAAAGGUACAAUUUGUAAGAUAUUUGCAGUAAAAUAUCCAAAAACCACUAGGCUAGUGUUAUAUAUUUUGUCCAGCUGAUUAUUAACAAUAUCUGUAAUGUUUUCAACUACUUGUAAAUCAUGAGAAAAUUCCCAUUCUAAACAGUGACACGGGGCAGUGCAGUCGCCUCUCAAUGAUGUUAGUUACCCUUUGUUACCGCCUUUACUGACAUAGUGUCUAGCGUCCAGCAAACCACUAGCUUGCCUCAAGCACUUCCUUAUUUACUUCUUCUUGCAUGUUUUAGGGUGGAUUGUGUUACUUAUUUAUGGAACAUAAUUACUGUUUACCAUCUGCCGCUGGUUCUGUCGACAAGGACAGCUCCCGUAAACGUAAGCAUACGGGCCAACCAAACGACCCAAGAAGAGUUUGGGACAAGAGGAGAGAAAGAGUGAGGAUCAAUAUCGGUGUUGCAUUUUCUAGAUGGAGAGAGCUUUGUGACAAACUUCAACUAGAAAGAGAUGCCGAUCUCGCUUGUGUUUUACUCGACAGGGAGGUUGAAGGAGGCUCCAGUCUUUUGCAGUGAAUGACCCCCAACCGAGAGGUGAACAGAGCACAGGGGUUUUUCACAGAAGUCCACCUUAGACACACACAAUGCGCUGUAAGUAUGUGAAUGGAGUGUCCUUCAGACUUACAAACUCUAGACUGUUUCUAGGAUUUUUUUUUCUAUUGUGUUGUCUCAAGAAUGAUAAAUUGGGGGCUAAUGAAGGUCAUUUUGAUAACAAAAACAAUGAUACAUUAAUAAAGACUUACAUUUCGUCUUUUAACCUAUGAAUCUGUCAGCGGGAACAUUUCUUAUCUAAGCACAUACUUUCCAGACUAGCAUCACUAACUCCCCUAGUGCUGAAGACAUGUGUGGUUACUUGAUAGUUUUACAAGUCUAGCUCUCAAAUGAGGCCUUUUAGAAUAAAAGUUAUUUUGGAUUCAUUCAAAAAUAUUAUACAAUUGCAAAUCCCUAUUUAUUUAUAUUGAGUUUUUUUGCUCUAAUGUCUCCUAUCUGGCUCAGCUCCCAGUCCACAUGGAUCUGCAGACUGUUAAAAGAUGAUCUCAAUGUUUAACACAAGCUUUAUCUCUAACAAUUAUACUACCACCUAUUGGACAGUUUUAGCACAACAGUAACAGGUAUGCAGACUUGACAUUUCCACAGCAGCUCAGUUUAGUAAUGCAGGCUACAAGCACGAAAAGUAUUUAGACACGUAAGCCACAGUCUAAUUCUGUAAUAAUAGCUGGCAUUAUUUGUUUGCAAAUGUUUUUUUUUUCUUCUAAUGCUAUAUGUGUGGCACUGCUCUAAUGUCUAAGUACUCAGGGAAACCAUGUAUAUAUAUUACUGACAGCUUCCCAGCCGCAGUGGUUGGAUCAUAAUGAGCAAAUGGCCAUGUAAAUAAUUCAACAGGAGAACAAGACUGAUAGUGAUGGUGAGUGGAGGACAGUGAUGUCAUCUUAUGGCAGGUGGUCAUUUCCUCUGAAAGGCACAUUUGUCAUGGGGAGCAUCACGUGGAUCACAGCUCAAACUAACACCUACUGUAUUUAUAUUUCAAAGCCUGGAGUUUAAGCAGAUACGUGCAAAAGUGAGAGUAAAUGAUACGUGACAACAUGCGACACAUCCUUUUUCAGCGUCAGGUUUCAAUUAAAAAUGAAAUAUGACUGACUCUCCAACUUAUUUCAGAGAGAACUGGCGUGUUACAGAAGAAUCCUGGUUAUGUGGGUCAGGCUUCACUUUUUUUUUUUUUUAUGUUUACAAAUUCUUUUGGUGUCUCUGCGUGACCGCAUGUUUAGAUUUAAGUAUUAGAAUACAUUGUUCUUAAUGUGACUACAACUACAAAAAUGUAGUAUGCGUGCACUCUUUCUUUGCUCAGAAUGAGCUUAAGCUAUCUGAUUUGUUUAGGAGAGCCUCUGAAAGUCCCAUGGUAUCCACCUGAGAGGAAGCAAGAAAAGUGAGAAAAGGUCAAACUACGAUGGGAACAACAAAGGUGGACACAGACCCACAAAAAAGUUAUUCAUCUCAUUUCUGUUUAUCGACCGACCACCCAGAGGUCACUUACCAUCUGGUGCAUAUUGCGGACAAAAAAUGGCAAGCUCUUUUUUUAAAUUAUCAAGUUCUGGUCUGAUUGUCUGUCUGCUACACAGUUCCACAGAAUCGGCGUGCAAAUGCUUUUACUAGUCUGCUGGGAGAACAAAAUGUUAUUUUUGCAAAGUAAUACAAGCUACUACAAAGAACAACCUGCAGAUACUGGAUUUGGCGGUUUGACAUGAGUUAUCUGGAAUAAAUUCUGUACUGUUUUUGCUUAGUAAUAGUCCCAAUUGGAUAUCCCUGUACAUAACUGAGUGCCUGAUUAAUUGGCAGCUUACUUUUGGAUAGACAGAAAUUUGGAUUACUGUCACACAUGUGGGCGGUUCUAGACCAGAAACAUUGCAAAAGGACAAGGCACAAUCAGAUAACUGACAUAAACUGUACGCAGAGUAGAAUAGAAAACAAACACUGUGACUCAACUCAACAAAGUGGAAAAGACAAAAAAAAGGUGAAUGUUUCCUUUCCUG
rnacentral:lncRNA from 1 species